CACUAAGAAGCUAAAUUAGGAAACAGCGUUAGCCUUUUAAGCUAAAGACUGGUGGCUACCGACCACCCUAAGUGA
rnacentral:tRNA from 1 species